UCGAAUAAUAGGUCUGUCAACGGGGUAGGCUCCGACGCCCCCAUAAGGCUACAUAGGCUCUCCUACCCAACUCCUAUUCUGGUAUGUCCAAGCCAUACAGACCGUGUACAUGUGUUUAUCCGAGCUUGGGUAAACGGGUCCAAUCCCAACCCCUUGGGAGGAUGGGGUUGCAUGGCUAAGCCAGAAGGG
rnacentral:ribozyme from 1 species